AAAAACAAAGACUGGAGAAGGUGGAAGGACCAUGGGAGAUGACUAUGAGACUUCUGAAUGGAAAUAUUGAAUUGAUAACUGGAACUCAACAUAGAGUUCAGAAGAGAAGUCUGAAGUAGUGAUACAUGUACGGGGGUUGUCAGCAUGGAGUAGGUCUUAAGGCAAUGAGACUGAAUAAAAUUACCAAGCGAGUGAAGACAGAGAAUUAAAGAGGAGAAAGGAUUAAUCCUUAAGGCCCUCCAAUGGCAAGACAAGAGAAUAAAGAAGUGCUCAAGAAGAAAACGAAAUAACCAGGAAGGCAUUGAUGUGUAGAGAUUUCAUGGUUGAGUUCUGAAUAUUUUUAACGUACAUUUUAAGUUGUCUGAAGAGCACACGGAUCACGAGGUCAAGAGAUCGAGACCAUCCUGGCCAACUUGGUGAAUCCCUGUCUCUACUAAAAGUACAAAAAUUAGCCGGGGUGGUGGUGGGCGCCUGUAAUCCCAGCUACUCAGGAGGCUGAGGUAGGAGAAUCGCUUGAACCCGGGAGGCAGAGGUUGGAGUGAGCUGAGAUCGCACCAGCGUACUCCAGCCUGGCGACAGAACGAGACUCUGUCUCAAAAAAAAAAAAAAAAAAAAAAAAAAAAGAAAGAGGUGACUGAUACAGAGUACAUGAUGAUGCAAUAUUAAUUACAAUAUUAUGUUCUCAGUGAAGUUUUCUCUGGCCAAUGACAUCCUCCCUGACCAUCUUCUGUAAUAAUAUAACCACACUGUUAAUCCCUUCCCUUACUAACCUGUAUCAUCAGACGACAUUAUACAUUUUCCUUCGUAACUCCUAUUUCCUCUGAGUGGAUAGUAAGCUCCAUGAAAGCAAACA
rnacentral:lncRNA from 1 species